rnacentral:rRNA from 1 species
GACGAACGCUGGCGGCGUGCCUAAUACAUGCAAGUAGAACGCUGAAGAGAGGAGCUUGCUCUUCUUGGAUGAGUUGCGAACGGGUGAGUAACGCGUAGGUAACCUGCCUUGUAGCGGGGGAUAACUAUUGGAAACGAUAGCUAAUACCGCAUAACAAUGGAUGACACAUGUCAUUUAUUUGAAAGGGGCAAAUGCUCCACUACAAGAUGGACCUGCGUUGUAUUAGCUAGUAGGUGAGGUAACGGCUCACCUAGGCGACGAUACAUAGCCGACCUGAGAGGGUGAUCGGCCACACUGGGACUGAGACACGGCCCAGACUCCUACGGGAGGCAGCAGUAGGGAAUCUUCGGCAAUGGGGGCAACCCUGACCGAGCAACGCCGCGUGAGUGAAGAAGGUUUUCGGAUCGUAAAGCUCUGUUGUAAGUCAAGAACGAGUGUGAGAGUGGAAAGUUCACACUGUGACGGUAGCUUACCAGAAAGGGACGGCUAACUACGUGCCAGCAGCCGCGGUAAUACGUAGGUCCCGAGCGUUGUCCGGAUUUAUUGGGCGUAAAGCGAGCGCAGGCGGUUUGAUAAGUCUGAAGUUAAAGGCUGUGGCUCAACCAUAGUUCGCUUUGGAAACUGUCAAACUUGAGUGCAGAAGGGGAGAGUGGAAUUCCAUGUGUAGCGGUGAAAUGCGUAGAUAUAUGGAGGGACACCGGUGGCGAAAGCGGCUCUCUGGUCUGUAACUGACGCUGAGGCUCGAAAGCGUGGGAGCGAACAGG